AACAUGAACAGCGGUUUCAGUCUGUGGAUGUGAGGUGGGUUGCAACCAACGUUCUGUGUCGGUCUAUGCUGCUGCACAUGCGCUGAACGGACGACGCGGAAAACAUUGAGGGAUUACCAAAGACAUGGCGGCCAACAUCGAGCAAAUUUUUCGCGAUUUCGUAGUAAAUAAGAUAAAAGAAAUUGAAGAUGAGAGUCAAGAUAUCAUUCUGACAGAUGAAGGCCAUCCCAAUGGUAAAACUGCAGAAGGAGCAGAUGGGAUCAACAACACACAAGAUAAAGAUGGUGUAGCCAAUAAGGAAGAGGGUGCUGUCCCACAAAAGAAACAUAAGAAGCACAAGAAACACAAGAAACACAAAAGCAAAAAGAAGAAACGUAAGGAAGAGAAAGAGAGCGGCUCAGAAUCAGCAGCAGACUCUGAUGGAGACAAGGCAAAGACUGGGGAAGAGGAUGACGGGAGAUCCAAGCGGCAUAAACGACAUUCUGGGAAGAAGAAGAAAAAAAAGCCGAAGAAAGAUGGUGACAAGUCCAACAGCUCAUCUGGGUCGGAGUCCGAGUCGAAGCCUCUGCCUGGGAACAAGGAGAGCAAACCUCAGGAUCUGCCUGAUAUCAUCCCUAAACUAGAGGAGAAGUGUCAGGAAAAGUCCUCCUCCAGAUGCUCACGGUCUCGUUCAGGCAAGCGCAGGUCCAGGGACAGGAGAGGGAGAUCCAGAUCGAGGUCUGGUAGAAGACGUGGCGGACACACACGUUCCAGAUCACGGCACCGGAGGUCCGGGUCACAUUCUCGAAGGUCUGGGUCUGCCAGGAGAGGCAGGAGAACCCGGUCAAGGUCCCUCGUGAUCUUGAAGAAAGACAGACGGUCUAGAUCGAGAUCCAGAAGGCGAUCAAAAUCUAAGACGAGAUCUCAGUCAAGACACCGAGAGAUGAUUUCAGGAUCUCCCUCUCCGUCCAGAAACGACAAAUCCAAAUCCAGGUCUGCCUCAAGAGACAGCCAAUCAGCCGAGAAGGAUCCCUCUGCGGCCCUGGCUAAAGAUGAGUCCGCUGUGAAAGAUGAAAACGUAAUGGUUCCAAUCGAUCCGCCAGCCCUAGCUUCCGAAAGCAGCAUUGAGGGUGUCGUCAAUAUGGCCGCCCCCACUGGAGGAGGGUGGAAGCCAAUACCCUUCUUAGGGGACAGCAGUAAGGGAGAGCCAGCUGUUUCCUCCCAGCCCUCAGAAUGUCUGAUGUCUCCACAGAAGUGCCCUAUUCCUCCCGAGGUGCCUUCGGGUGAGCAGCAUGAGGCCUCCACUGACCACCAGUCAAUGUCAGCAUCUGAUCUGAACCUCAACAGCCAGCCAACUGGUGAGCCAGGGGAAUCGGAUGGACUUGUUACUUCAGACACCUUUGAUGGCUCUGUAGAUUCCUUACCCCCCAAAACGGAUGCUGAUGGAGGGGACAAGGUGACAACUCGGGGUGAAGAGCUGCCUGCUUCACCUCAACCUAAACCACAGCCAACAUCUGGAGAGGCAGAUAUGACAGAGAAGGAAGGAGAAUCUUCAAAGUCCAGGUCUCCUUCAAAGAGGAAAAAGUCAAGGUCAAAGUCUCCUGAUCAGAAGAAACGCUCUGAUGCAAAGUCCUCCAAGAAGAGGAGGUCCAGAUCCAAGUCUCCAGGGAGGAAAAGGAAAUCAAGGUCCUCGUCGCCAAGCCGCAAGAGGAAGUCCAGGACUCCGUCUCGGAGGAAGAGGUCUCGCUCAAAGUCCGGGACGAGAAAGAAGAAAUCACGGUCCAAAUCCAGAACGCGGAACAAGCGCUCAAAGUCUAGGUCGCCGAAAAGGAAACGGUCCAAGUCACGGUCUCCUGCUCGGAGGUCAAAGAGAUCGAGGUCACGCUCUGGUUCGCGGCGAAGGGGUAGGGGUGCAUUCGGCAGCCACCAGCUGAGCCAGAGGGACCGCUGGAAGCGUGAGCCAAGCCACUCCCCAGUCCUCAUCCUCCGCAAGAAGAGGUCUCCGGCACGCACCAACCGCGACUCCAGCAAAAGCCCGCCACGACUCACAGAGCUGGAUAAAGACCAGUUACUGGAGAUUGCUAAGGCUAAUGCAGCCGCCAUGUGUGCCAAGGCCGGGAUACCCAUCCCAGAGAGCCUGCGACCCAAAGCUGUCCUCCAGCUGCCUUUACCCAGCCCCAACAACCCCAUGUCCUUCUCCAUGCCCAUGAAUAUGAACAUGCCCAUGAACAUGUCUAUGAACAUGCCUAUGAGCAUGACCAUGAAUGCAGCUAUGGCUAGCAUGACAGCUGCCACAAUGACUGCUGCCCUGGCCAGUAUGGGAUCUAUGGCCUCCAUGCACCAGAUGGCUCCGCUCCCCAGCAUCACCAACAAGCCCCCGCCAGGUCCCCCCCAGCCCAACAUGGCCACCAUCGAGGAUGUGAAGAGGAAGGUGGCCAAACAGGCAAACAGCAUCAGCAUCAAGGAGUUCACUGACAAGUGUAAGAAGAUUGUGGAGAAGGGAGGGGAGCUGGCCCUCGCUGAACCCCGUAUAUCUGACGACGAGGACGACGGCAAACCGUUUGGACGAGCCGCCCUGAGGGAGGUCAAGGGCAUCUCCUUCAGCCUCAAUAACGCAUCCGUGCGUCCAUCACCGGCGUUGGCGGUUCGGAGCGAGGCGGCGUUCGCCAAGGAGUUCCCCGUGUCAUCGGGCUCCCAGCACAGGAAGAAGGAGGGCGACGGGGGAGGGGCUUACGGAGAGUGGGUGACCGUUGACAAGAAGGCGGAAAAGGCCAAGGUGGCGGCGACCAAGGCAUUGGCAACGGCUGCUAAGGAAACUUCGCCUGGGGAUGCACCUUUGUCUGCGGUGUCCGUGGCAACGGAGGAGCCGGCGGUCGUCAAGGAGAGUGAUAGUGUGUUCCCGGAGCCGCCGCUACAGCCUGUAGACAUCACCCAGGCAGUCGGUGAGAGGAUGAAGGCCCAGAAGCGUCUGGCUGAGAACCCGCACGACGUCAGUGCCAUCUGCAUGCUCAGCCGUGCUCAGGAACAGGUGGAUGCAUGGGCCCAGUCCAACACCAUCCCUGGUCUGUUUACAGGUUCUACUGGAGCAACGGUGCUCAGCUCAGAGGAGCUGUCCAACAGCGGACCACAGGCCUGGAUUAAAAAGGUACCGUCCACUGUCUUACCUGCUCCCCACCCCAAACAUGCUACCCUACAGGUGUCUGCAUCGCCCAUGCCCACUGGUGUACCCACUUCACACGCCUUCCUCAGCCUGCUCCCUAAUCACCACCCAGCCCUAAUUAAAUAACUGAAUGGCUGUACGCAUAGUGCCAGAGACAUACUGUAUAAAGUUUGACAAGUGUUCUGUUGAUGUAGAACAAACUGGGUUAGAAUGGAGUAGUUCCACUGUUACUCAGUGGAAUCCAGGUCGGUUUUAAGGGCCCAGAAACGUGAGGUUCACUGCUACCAUGGCAACCCUUGUCAGCGCUAAUGCACAUAGUUUACUGAUGUGUGUGUGAGUGAGCAUCUGUUGUCUGUAUUGUGUGUUUCUGUCUGCGUCAGAAAAAGCUGCUCUGGCGGUGAAGGAAGCCUCUUGUUUAUGUUGCCUGAUAUUUGCACUGCAGUUUGUAACAAUGGUAACAUAUGAACCCAGACUUUAAUCUUUAAUCUGACAUACAGAGAUUAACAAACAUCUCCCUGCUCUUCAAUCACCCCCCACCCCUCCCCCGCAACACACACACACAUUCUGACUAAUUACAUUUCCUGUGAAGUGGGUACACCAUGUUAAGGGUAGUGAUGCAGAUUCCUUACAUGUGACAUUCUUACCAAAGCAGGUGCAAAUGCAGUACUGACACCCGGCUACUAGUGGUGCGCUGGUCUGACACCCGGCUACUAGUGGUGCGCUGGUCUGACACCCGUCUACUAGUGGUGCGCUGGUCUGACACCCGGCUACUAGUGGUGCUCUGGUCUGACACCCGGCUACUAGUGGUGCUCUGGUCUGACACCCGGCUACUAGUGGUGCUCUGGUUUGUCCACUAAAUAGAGUCCCCCUCGGAGUCGGAAAAGGGACUAGGAGAAUGAGGGGGGGGGGGGGGGGGGGGGGAGGAGAGCUGGAAGUAAGUCUGCAGACCCCAGAACCCCCCCCUUGUCCUCUAGCACCCCAGGGCAAGGCAGAGAUUAUGGGCCCGUCUCAGUAGUCUAAAGAUGCUUCCUCGUCUCUUUCCUUGGAUUCACACUGAUGUCAGAACAGGGGAAAGGGAAAAGCACUAUUCUUUCACCUAUCCUGCCUUUUCAGAUCAGGUCAGAUGUUAUUGGGGACGUUAGGUGAGGAAGUGACUUUAGACUAUUCAGAUGCACCCCAAGACCGGUUACUAUAGUCUCUACCGUCACGCUGUCUCCCUAAUGCAGUGUCUCCCUAUCACUCCCCCACACCCAGUCACACAGAAUGUCAUCAGGCCCAGAGAUAACCAUAGUCGUUUGUUCUCUGUCUGUGGACCCCGUCUGAACUCUCCUACCCUGUAGUGUUUCUAUAGUGGGCUGUUUGAAGCCAGUGGGUGUAACUACCCCAAGUCUCCCUGAGCUCUGCAAACACACAGAGACAGGGGGCUACUGUUUUAAACGACAUCCUGAGGAAUCUCUCUCUCAGGAUAGGUUACACAUAGUCACAUCAUUUAGCUAUAGAGAGAGUGAUGGAUCUGCUGAGUUCAUUCUUCAUUUAAUGACACAUCCUUCACAUGCAGAUGCUAUGGGCAGAUGCCAUGGAUAUAUGCUGUGGACAUGUUCAGAGACAUGAUAUAGGGAUGAGAGUGCAUUGAUCAUACUAAUGUUAGUGACAUGCAUUUUGCUAGCAUUACAGCAGCUAACAUUGAUUUACAGCACGCUAGCAUUACAGCAGCUCCCAUUGAUUUACAGCACGCUAGCAUUACAGCAGCUCCCAUUGAUUUACAGCACGCUAGCAUUACAGCAGCUCACAUUGAUUUACAGCACGCUAGCAUUACAGCAGCUCACAUUGAUUUACAGCACGCUAGCAUUACAGCAGCUGACAUUGAUUUACAGCACGCUAGCAUUACAGCAGCUGACAUUGAUUUACAGCACGCUAGCAUUACAGCAGCUGACAUUGAUUUACAGCACACUAGCAUUACAGCAGCUGACAUUGAUUUACAGCACGCUAGCAUUACAGCAGCUGACAUUGAUUUACAGCACGCUAGCAUUACAGCAGCUGACAUUGAUUUACAGCAGCUGACAUUGAUUUACAGCACGCUAGCAUUACAGCAGCUGACAUUGAUUUACAGCACGCUAGCAUUACAGCAGCUGACAUGGAUUUACAGCACGCUAGCAUUACAGCAGCUGGACUGUGAUGUUUGUGUGGUUGUUGGGUGCCCCUAGCAACCAGUCCUGGUGCAUUCUGUUUCCCAGUAGAUGAGCAGGGUCUAGUUUUAGACCAGUCAGUGGUCUCCAACCCUAGUCCAGGCUGAGAUAUAGAGUCAUAAAGUCGUAUAGGUUAGGGCUAUAACAAAAACCUGCACACUAGCUCCAGGAUCUCAAUUGGAGACUACUACCUGAAGGAGAUCUCUGGUCUGAGGGACCUAGGCUAGUUACAGGUGUCCAUGGACAUGCCUGUGCUCUUUCCCUUGCCCUGGGGGAGGCUGCGGUCAGAAGUUGCUCCUAGUCACCAGUCUAGAAUCAGCGUCCCUUCCGCAAAUCCUAACUCCAAGCUGACCUAGGUGUCUAGGGGCAACUUCCUCCCAGUCCUUGGGGCAGCCUGAGGAAGGGGGUCGAUAAGAGGGGUCUGGAUUGGAGCAGAGGGAGAGAGGUGUGGGUUCACAGGGGUGACCUGUGAACUUUCACCUCUCUGUGUAUUGGACACUUGUUUCAGGGUCAGUCCUUGUAGCUGUCCUUGUUGCCAUGGCCACAGUCAGGCCCCCCUCUCAUUUCCUGUUUGAUGCUGGGCCGGUGAUGAGGGGCUAGGACCAGUUCUUGCGAGCAGCCCCGGUGUCGGGAGGAGUAGGGGAGUUUCUCAUGAGAAAGAUGGGAUGGCGGACAGGGGAGGGGCUAGGGCGACACCGCGAGGGCACCGUCGAGCCAAUCAUCAUCGACUUCAAGACCGACCGCAAAGGUCUGGUGGCUGAGGGAGAGAAGACUCAGAAGUCGGGCGGUAUGGUUGUGAUGAAGGAUCUACUGGGUAAGCACCCAGUGUCUGCUCUGAUGGAGAUGUGCAACAAGAAGAAGUGGAUUCCUCCAGAGUUUGUUAUGGUGACCCACAGUGGCCCAGACCACCGUGGUGGUAAAUGGUCAAGACUUCCAGCCUGCGUCAGCCAGUCCCAAUAAGAAGCAUGCCAAAGCCAUGGCUGCUACGGUGGCUCUGCAGGCCAUGGGAGAGGUGGCAGGGGACACCGGGCUUUAUACAGGGCCUGUGUUCACCACUGCUACCACUGGCCCACUGUUCUCCUCCAACGUCUAACACACACAGUGAAACACACUCAGACUGAGAUACAGCGCUCGCACACACAGGAGAAAAAAUGACUUGAGUCGCAGACUCUUCUGGCUGAAAAGGACAUAGAAUUUGAAGUCACCCGCCAGGGAGCGAUGAUUUGUAUUGGAAUGUCCGUUCUAUCAAGUCUAAUGUUUUCGGCCUACACACCACAAGCAUUCAGAAGAACCGUAUCUGCUGCCUAAUGGUCAACACUAGGAGAUGGUGUUACUCUGGAAGCAAAAUAAACUUACUGAUAUUUUAAAACGGUUCCGUAACGUUUUUUUUAUCCUAAUUUGAAUGUUUAUCUUAUGUGUUGAAGCUCAAAUGAUGUUUUCAAGAAGCAGUUCAUAGUGUUAAUGCAUUUGGGAGAAUUUGAAAAACCCCACUAUUCUCCUCGUGACCAAAUCGUCAAUAUCAAAUGUUACCCAUUUGGAACAUUCAUUUUCAAAGUGAUUCACACUUGAUAGUUCUCAUUUUGGACAGAUUAAUUUACUACUGUCUAGGUUGAGCGAUCAGUCCGCUUUUGUUGGUAACGUUAUUUACAAUGUUUGUAUAAAAACAAAUGUAACGUGUUAGCUGAAAGCGAUGUGGGUAACCGUAUGAGUUAUGGUCUGGAAUACAAAAAUAAAAAUGUUUUUAUCUGACUAAUUAAAUGAUAAUCCUUU